rnacentral:rRNA from 1 species
UUCCCUUCGGGGAGCAAGUAGAGUGGCGCACGGGUGAGUAACACGUAGGUAAUCUACCUUUGGAUGGGGAAUAACAACCGGAAACGGUUGCUAAUACCGCAUAAUGCAGCGGCACCUAAUGGUGACAGUUGUUAAAGCGGGGGAUCGAAAGACCUCGCGUCUAAAGAGGAGCCUGCGGCGGAUUAGCUAGUUGGUAAGGUAAUGGCUUACCAAGGCGAUGAUCCGUAACCGGCCUGAGAGGGCGGUCGGUCACACUGACACUGAUAUACGGGUCAGACUCCUACGGGAGGCAGCAGUCGGGAAUUUUGGGCAAUGGGCGAAAGCCUGACCCAGCAACGCCGCGUGAAGGAUGAAAUCCCUCGGGAUGUAAACUUCGCAAGAACAGGAAGAAUAAGUAGGGGAUAAUACCCUCUAUGAUGACGGUACUGUUUGUAAGCUCCGGCUAACUCCGUGCCAGCAGCCGCGGUAAUACGGGGGGAGCAAGCGUUGUUCGGAUUUACUGGGCGUAAAGGGCGCGUAGGCGGCCACCGCAAGUCGGUUGUGAAAUCUCUGGGCUUAACCCAGAAAGGUCAACCGAUACUGCGGGGCUAGAGUGCAGAAGGGGCAACUGGAAUUCUCGGUGUAGCGGUGAAAUGCGUAGAUAUCGAGAGGAACACCUGCGGCGAAGGCGGGUUGCUGGGCUGACACUGACGCUGAAGCGCGAAAGCUAGGGGAGCGAACGGGAUUAGAUACCCCGGUAGUCCUAGCCUUAAACGAUGAAUGCUUGGUGUC